GACGAACGCUGGCGGCGUGCCUAACACAUGCAAGUCGAGGGGUGAUUUCGGUCAUCACUGGCGCACGGGUGAGUAACGCGUAGAUCAUCUGCCCCUAUCACUGACAUAAACAGUUCUAACGGACUGCUAAUAUCAGAUGAGGUGAACAAUCAUCAAAGUUUCGACGGAUAGGGAUGAGUCUGCGUCUGAUUAGGUAGUUGGUGAGGUUAACGGCUCACCUAAGCCGACGAUCAGUAACUGGUCUGAGAGGACGAACAGUCACACUGGAACUGAGACACGGUCCAGACUCCUACGGGAGGCAGCAGUGAGGAAUAUUGCAC
rnacentral:rRNA from 1 species